GAAGUGCCUUGGCUAAGUGGUUAGCAUGCUUCACUUUUAAUGGAAAGGGCACUGGUUCGAAUCCUAUCAUGAUCA